AUUGAACGCCGGCGGCAGGCCUAACACAUGCAAGUCGAACGGUAGCACAGAGAGCUUGCUCUCGGGUGACGAGUGGCGGACGGGUGAGUAACGUCUGGGAAACUGCCCGAUGGAGGGGGAUAACUACUGGAAACGGUAGCUAAUACCGCAUAACGUCGCAAGACCAAAGUGGGGGACCUUCGGGCCUCACACCAUCGGAUGUGCCCAGAUGGGAUUAGCUAGUAGGUGGGGUAAUGGCUCACCUAGGCGACGAUCCCUAGCUGGUCUGAGAGGAUGACCAGCCACACUGGAACUGAGACACGGUCCAGACUCCUACGGGAGGCAGCAGUGGGGAAUAUUGCACAAUGGGCGCAAGCCUGAUGCAGCCAUGCCGCGUGUAUGAAGAAGGCCUUCGGGUUGUAAAGUACUUUCAGCGGGGAGGAAGGCGGUGGAGUUAAUAACUUCACCGAUUGACGUUACCCGCAGAAGAAGCACCGGCUAACUCCGUGCCAGCAGCCGCAGUAAAAC
rnacentral:rRNA from 1 species